AACUGAGAAUUGAAAACAGAAGAGGCACUGUUAGCUCUCGUCCUAGCGGCUCUCCGCGUAACUCCUGAAAAAGGUGCUAAUGGAGAAGUUAUUGGCGACAUCAUAUCUGUCUGCUCACUAGACAUAGACUGUGGAGAGCUUCCAAAGAAAAAAUUGGCAUUGGAAUUUGAAGCGGGAGAAGACGGUUGUUGUCCAGAAAUAGGAACUGGAUUAGAAUGAAUAUUCACUGGACUGUUUGGACCGAAAUCGGAAGAAUUCCUACGACUUAAGUUAGGAGUAGUAAACCCGCUUUGCAACUGUGGAUUUUCCGAGGG